GGGAAGGUGGCUCAGUGGUGAGAGUGCUUGCUUUGCAUGCAUGAGGCCCUGGGUUCAAGUCCUCAGCGCCA
rnacentral:tRNA from 1 species